CGGGGGGCCCGCCUAUACAUGCAGUCGAGCGGACAGAUGGGAGCUUGCUCCCUGAUGUUAGCGGCGGACGGGUGAGUAACACGUGGGUAACCUGCCUGUAAGACUGGGAUAACUCCGGGAAACCGGGGCUAAUACCGGAUGGUUGUUUGAACCGCAUGGUUCAAACAUAAAAGGUGGCUUCGGCUACCACUUACAGAUGGACCCGCGGCGCAUUAGCUAGUUGGUGAGGUAACGGCUCACCAAGGCAACGAUGCGUAGCCGACCUGAGAGGGUGAUCGGCCACACUGGGACUGAGACACGGCCCAGACUCCUACGGGAGGCAGCAGUAGGGAAUCUUCCGCAAUGGACGAAAGUCUGACGGAGCAACGCCGCGUGAGUGAUGAAGGUUUUCGGAUCGUAAAGCUCUGUUGUUAGGGAAGAACAAGUACCGUUCGAAUAGGGCGGUACCUUGACGGUACCUAACCAGAAAGCCACGGCUAACUACGUGCCAGCAGCCGCGGUAAUACGUAGGUGGCAAGCGUUGUCCGGAAUUAUUGGGCGUAAAGGGCUCGCAGGCGGUUUCUUAAGUCUGAUGUGAAAGCCCCCGGCUCAACCGGGGAGGGUCAUUGGAAACUGGGGAACUUGAGUGCAGAAGAGGAGAGUGGAAUUCCACGUGUAGCGGUGAAAUGCGUAGAGAUGUGGAGGAACACCAGUGGCGAAGGCGACUCUCUGGUCUGUAACUGACGCUGAGGAGCGAAAGCGUGGGGAGCGAACAGGAUUAGAUACCCUGGUAGUCCACGCCGUAAACGAUGAGUGCUAAGUGUUAGGGGGUUUCCGCCCCUUAGUGCUGCAGCUAACGCAUUAAGCACUCCGCCUGGGGAGUACGGUCGCAAGACUGAAACUCAAAGGAAUUGACGGGGGCCCGCACAAGCGGUGGAGCAUGUGGUUUAAUUCGAAGCAACGCGAAGAACCUUACCAGGUCUUGACAUCCUCUGACAAUCCUAGAGAUAGGACGUCCCCUUCGGGGGCAGAAUGACAGGUGGUGCAUGGUUGUCGUCAGCUCGUGCCGGGAAAGUUGGGUUAAGUCCCGCAACGAGCGCACCCUUGAUCUAAUUGCCAGCAUUCAGUUGGGCCCUCUAAGGUGACUGCCGGGUACAAACCGGAAGAAGGUGGGGAUGACGUCAAAUCUUAGGCCCUUAAGACGGGGGACACCCGGUCCAAAUUGACAAAAAGAGGGGCGGAAACCGCGGGGUUAACCAUUCCCAAAUUUUUUCUUUUGGGGACCGGUCGGCACUUCGCGGGGAAGGUGGAAACCCUUUAAUCCGGAAAAAACCGGCGGGAAAAAAUCUCCCCGGUUUUUAACCCCCCGCC
rnacentral:rRNA from 2 species